rnacentral:rRNA from 1 species
AAAUUGAAGAGUUUGAUCAUGGCUCAGAUUGAACGCUGGCGGCAGGCCUAACACAUGCAAGUCGAGCGGAAACGAGUUAUCUGAACCUUCGGGGAACGAUAACGGCGUCGAGCGGCGGACGGGUGAGUAAUGCCUAGGAAAUUGCCCUGAUGUGGGGGAUAACCAUUGGAAACGAUGGCUAAUACCGCAUGAUGCCUUUGGGCCAAAGAGGGGGACCUUGGGGCCUCUCGCGUCAGGAUAUGCCUAGGUGGGAUUAGCUAGUUGGUGAGGUAAGGGCUCACCAAGGCGACGAUCCCUAGCUGGUCUGAGAGGAUGAUCAGCCACAC